rnacentral:rRNA from 1 species
GACGAACGCUGGCGGCGUGCUUAACACAUGCAAGUCGAGCGGUAAGGCCCUUUCGGGGGUACACGAGCGGCGAACGGGUGAGUAACACGUGGGUGACCUGCCCUCAGCUCUGGGAUAAGCCCGGGAAACUGGGUCUAAUACCGGAUAUGACUCCAUGACGCAUGUUGUGGGGUGGAAAGCCUUGUGCGGCUGAGGAUGGGCCCGCGGCCUAUCAGCUUGUUGGUGGGGUGAUGGCCUACCAAGGCGACGACGGGUAGCCGGCCUGAGAGGGCGACCGGCCACACUGGGACUGAGAUACGGCCAGACUCCUACGGGAGGCAGCAGUGGGGAAUCUUGCGCAAUGGGCGAAAGCCUGACGCAGCGACGCCGCGUGAGGGAUGACGGCCU